rnacentral:rRNA from 1 species
AUUGAACGCUGGCGGCAUGCCUUACACAUGCAAGUCGAACGGCAGCACGGGAGCAAUCCUGGUGGCGAGUGGCGAACGGGUGAGUAAUACAUCGGAACGUGCCCAAUCGUGGGGGAUAACACAGCGAAAGCUGUACUAAUACCGCAUAAGAUCUACGGAUGAAAGACAGGGGAGUCGCAAGACCUUGCGCGAAUGGAGCG